rnacentral:rRNA from 1 species
UACGUAGGGUCCGAGCGUUGUCCGGAAUUAUUGGGCGUAAAGGGCUCGUAGGCGGUUGGUCACGUCGGGAGUGAAAACUCAGGGCUCAACCCUGAGCGUGCUUCCGAUACGGGCCGACUAGAGGUAUGCAGGGGAGAACGGAAUUCCUGGUGUAGCGGUGGAAUGCGCAGAUAUCAGGAGGAACACCGGUGGCGAAGGCGGCUCUCUGGACCACAACCGACGCUGAGGCGCGAAAGCUAGGGGAGCAAACAGG